rnacentral:rRNA from 1 species
GACGAACGCUGGCGGCGUGCUUAACACAUGCAAGUCGAACGGAAAGGCCUCUUUCGGGGGGUCCUCGAGUGGCGAACGGGUGAGUAACACGUGAGUAACCUGCCUUUGACUUUGGGAUAACUUCAGGAAACUGGGGCUAAUACCGGAUAGGAGCUUCUGCUGCUUGGUGGGGGUUGGAAAGUUUCGGCUGUUUGGGAUGGACUUGCGGCUUAGCAGCUGGUUGGUGGGGUAGUGUCUUACCAAGUCUUUGGCGGGGAGCCGGCCGUAGCGGGUGACCGGCAACAGUCGGACUGGGAUACGGACAAGACGCCUACGGGAGGCAGAAGUGGCGGAGAUGGCUCAAGGGGUGGAAGCCUGAUGCAGCUACGCCGAUGGCGGGUGGACGGCCUUCGGGUUGUAAUCCGCAUUCGCUCAUGACGAAGCUGUGAGUGACGGUAGUGGGUAAAGAAGCACCGGCUAACUACGUG